rnacentral:rRNA from 1 species
CAGACUCUACGGGAGGCAGCAGUGGGGAAUAUUGCACAAUGGGCGCAAGCUGAUGCAGCCAUGCCGCGUGUGUGAAGAAGGCCUUCGGGUUGUAAAGCACUUUCAGCAGUGAGGAAGGCGGGUACGUUAAUAGCGUAUUCGUUUGACGUUAGCUGCAGAAGAAGCACCGGCUAACUCCGUGCCAGCAGCCGCGGUAAUACGGAGGGUGCGAGCGUUAAUCGGAAUUACUGGGCGUAAAGCGCAUGCAGGUGGUUCGUUAAGUCAGAUGUGAAAGCCCGGGGCUCAACCUCGGAACUGCAUUUGAAACUGGCGGACUAGAGUACUGUAGAGGGGGGUAGAAUUUCAGGUGUAGCGGUGAAAUGCGUAGAGAUCUGAAGGAAUACCGGUGGCGAAGGCGGCCCCCUGGACAGAUACUGACACUCAGAUGCGAAAGCGUGGGGAGCAAACAGGAUUAGAUACCCUGGUAGUCCACGCCGUAAACGAUGUCUACUUGGAGGUUGUGGCCUUGAGCCGUGGCUUUCGGAGCUAACGCGUUAAGUAGACCGCCUGGGGAGUACGGUCGCAAGAUUAAAACUCAAAUGAAUUGACGGGGGCCCGCACAAGCGGUGGAGCAUGUGGUUUAAUUCGAUGCAACGCGAAGAACCUUACCUACUCUUGACAUCCAGAGAAGCCAGCGGAGACGCAGGUGUGCCUUCGGGAGCUCUGAGACAGGUGCUGCAUGGCUGUCGUCAGCUCGUGUUGUGAAAUGUUGGGUUAAGUCCCGCAACGAGCGCAACCCUUAUCCUUGUUUGCCAGCGAGUAAUGUCGGGAACU